rnacentral:rRNA from 1 species
UACGCUCGUCUCAAAGAUUAAGCCAUGCAUGUGUAAGUAUAAAUAAUUUUACUUUGAAACUGCGAAUGGCUCAUUAUAUCAGUUAUAGUUUAUUAGAAAUAUUUUACUACUUGGAUAACCGUAGUAAUUCUAGGGCUAAUACAUGAGUAAAACCUCAACUUCGGAAGAGGUGUGUUUAUUAGUAUGAAAACCAUAUAUCUUCGGAUAUAAUAGUGAGUAAUAAUAACCUUUCAUAUCGUAUGUCGUAAGAUAACGAUAGUUCUUUCAAGUUUCUGCCCUAUCAGCUUUCGAUGGUAGUAUAUGGGACUACCAUGGCAGUAACGGGUAACGAAGAAUUUGGGUUCGAUUUCGGAGAGGGAGCCUGAGAGAUGGCUACCACAUCCAAGGAAGGCAGCAGGCGCGUAAAUUACCCAAUCCUGACAUAGGGAGGUAGUGACAAUAAAUCACAAUGCGGAACUU